GUCUCAGAGAUAUAGCCGUAACUGAUGAAAAGAUCAUUCUGGUUUUAACUACGGAUCCGAAAUUAUCACUUUGCUCCUAUCAGUAAAUUUGCAUCCACAAUUAUAACUUUACAGCGACAUCCACAUCUUUGUUGCAUUUAGAAUAGCAUUUAAAGGCCUCUUUACCAUAAUAAUUAUUGAAAAUUUUUGUAAUUAAUAUCGUUAACCAAUCAAAUUUUAUGUCACGACACAUCAAUAGCAAACUAAGAAAUAAGUAAAGACAAAGAAUUAAUUAUAAUUAUCAUAUGAGAGAGCCUCAAUGCUGCAAAAAUAAAUAAAUAAAUAAAUAAUGGUAACAGUAAUAAUAAUAAAAAUUGACCUGACCAAAAACUUCACGGAGUAAUAUUAACCCUUGUCAAAACACGACAAAUUUAUCGUGAACAUUUGAAAAUGUGUUAUCCAUAUGGAGCAGUGUUGUCUGGGCAACCUGCAGCUUCCAGGAGUAUGCUUUGUUUUCAUCGUACAAGUGAAGGAAACAGUUGUCCACUUUAAGUCAAAAUCACUCUGUUUAUCGCAUCUUAAAAGGACCAAUGGCAAGUUAUUUCACUCGUUUUGUCUUUCAUUGAAACCUUUUCAAGCGCUGAAUUUUGCCAAGCCUUUGAUUUGCUGAGUGUUUGGAGGGUUUUCACUGAGUGUACACAUCGCCUCAGGUAUUUACAAAGAGAAACAGCAAUAGGGAGGAGCUGCAAGUUUCACAGCCAGACGCCAUGUGUAUUUACGCCAUAAUCAUGCAAAGGAUGAAAAGGAAGAAUUUAAUGAAGAAUAAAGAAAAGAAGCAAUCCAGCCUUGAUUAUCAAGAUGAUGUUUCCAUUAAAGAUGCUUAUUCACCGACAAAGGAAAGUCUUCCUGAGAGAGACAAAGAUGUAAAUAUAUGAAACUUUCCUGGAUGACGUACUGCUAUGCUGAGUCAAAGCCUCAUUUUGAAAUCUCACCUUCUAAUAAUUUAAGGAUAAGGUAACAGCUAGAUGGAAAACAGAAAAGACAAGGUGGAACUUCUUUAGUUAAUUUUUUUGGACUGAGAAACCAAAUUCACUACUCCAAUGUCAUAAAGGUUUACUAAAGAAAACAAUAUGUCUAGAAGAGCAUUAAUUUGUAGGAAAAUAAAUAUUCUGAUGCUGUAAGCUAUCAGUAAGAAAUUAUGUAAGAAGUUUCAUUGUUUUAUUGUUUUAGAUUUACUAGUCUAAAUGUACUAUCAAGUAAAAAUUGCUGGUUACAAAGCAAAAACCUUAACAGUUUGUUUUAAAAACACAGUCAGACCUAUUUCAAGGGAAAAAGUUAGUAACAACCAAAGACAUAUUGAUAGAAUCUAAAUCACAAUCCUAUAAGGGCUGUCAAAUAAGAACUCUCUCUGACACAUAUCAAAUGUACAAAUAAAGGAAAAAAUAGAGAAUUA